rnacentral:lncRNA from 1 species
AUUAAGUGAUUAAUCAACUAAUGUUAAUUAUUUAUAUACAAAUCACCUUGAAAACAUAUUCACGCAUUAAUCAGAACCUCUAAUUACCUACUAGUCUGGUAAUUAUUUUAUAUUUAAGCGGUCGGGAUAAAGAUAAAUAAAGUGAAUUUAAUUUUAUGACGUCAUAAAUGGAAUAUUGAGAGAGCAUUUAAUUCGCACAGCAAUCUGUUUGUGGUGUGAGAAAUGGAUGAGUUGGAGGAACAGACAGAAAGCAAC